rnacentral:rRNA from 1 species
UGGGGGUGCCUUAUUCAUUGCAGUUCGAACGCUUUUGUGGUUUCAACUUGAUUUUGAAGAAGCUUUGCUCAGAUAUGACGAUGGACAUUGCAAAGAGUGGCGAACGGGUGAGUAACACGUGGGAAACCUACCUCUUAGCAGGGGAUAACAUUUGGAAACAGAUGCUAAUACCGUAUAACAAUGACAACCGCAUGGUUGUUAUUUAAAAGAUGGUUCUGCUAUCACUAAGAGAUGGUCCCGCGGUGCAUUAGCUAGUUGGUAAGGUAAUGGCUUACCAAGGCGAUGAUGCAUAGCCGAGUUGAGAGACUGAUCGGCCACAAUGGGACUGAGACACGGCCCAUACUCCUACGGGAGGCAGCAGUAGGGAAUCUUCCACAAUGGGCGAAAGCCUGAUGGAGCAACGCCGCGUGUGUGAUGAAGGGUUUCGGCUCGUAAAACACUGUUGUAAGAGAAGAAUGACAUUGAGAGUAACUGUUCAAUGUGUGACGGUAUCUUACCAGAAAGGAACGGCUAAAUACGUGCCAGCAGCCGCGGUAAUACGUAUGUUCCAAGCGUUAUCCGGAUUUAUUGGGCGUAAAGCGAGCGCAGACGGUUAUUUAAGUCUGAAGUGAAAGCCCUCAGCUCAACUGAGGAAUUGCUUUGGAAACUGGAUGACUUGAGUGCAGUAGAGGAAAGUGGAACUCCAUGUGUAGCGGUGAAAUGCGUAGAUAUAUGGAAGAACACCAGUGGCGAAGGCGGCUUUCUGGACUGUAACUGACGUUGAGGCUCGAAAGUGUGGGUAGCAAACAGGAUUAGAUACCCUGGUAGUCCACACCGUAAACGAUGAGUGCUAGGUGUUUGAGGGUUUCCGCCCUUAAGUGCCGCAGCUAACGCAUUAAGCACUCCGCCUGGGGAGUACGACCGCAAGGUUGAAACUCAAAGGAAUUGACGGAGACCCGCACAAGCGGUGGAGCAUGUGGUUUAAUUCGAAGCAACGCGAAGAACCUUACCAGGUCUUGACAUCCCUUGACAACUCCAGAGAUGGAGCGUUCCCUUCGGGGACCAGGUGACAAGUGGUGCAUGGUUGUCGUCAGCUCGUGUCCUGAGAUGUUGGGUUAAAUCCCGCAACGAGCCCAACCCUUAUGACUAGUUGUCAGCAUUCAUUGGGCCACUCUAGUGGGGACUGCCGUUGACGACCCGCAGAAAAUAGAGGAUGACGGUGGUUCAUCAGGCCCCUGAGGACCUGGGCUACACACGUGCUACAAUGGCGUAUACAACGAUUGUGGCAACUCCACAGGUGACCCCACCCCCGGGAGGGGCGGUCCAUCUCGUAUGGAAGGCCACCAACUACCUAACUGGAAGACGGCACUCCCUGUUAUUUUGGAAUUGAACACCCUUUGUUAUUCCAGUUACCGGCCUCGGCCCACCAGAACGGUUGAGCCGUGUCAGUUCCGAACCCCCACCGAAAAGGGUAAGUUUUGGAAAA